rnacentral:rRNA from 1 species
ACGGGAGGCAGCAGUGGGGAAUAUUGCACAAUGGGGGAAACCCUGAUGCAGCGACGCCGCGUGAGUGAAGAAGUAUUUCGGUAUGUAAAGCUCUAUCAGUAGGGAAGAAAAUGACGGUACCUAACUAAGAAGCCCCGGCUAACUACGUGCCAGCAGCCGCGGUAAUACGUAGGGGGCAAGCGUUAUCCGGAUUUACUGGGUGUAAAGGGAGCGUAGACGGUACGGCAAGUCUGAAGUGAAAUGUCGGGGCUCAACCCCGGAACUGCUUUGGAAACUGUCGAACUAGAGUGCAGGAGAGGUGAGUGGAAUUCCUAGUGUAGCGGUGAAAUGCGUAGAUAUUAGGAGGAACACCGGUGGCGAAGGCGGCUUACUAGACUGUAACUGACGUUGAGGCUCGAAAGCGUGGGGAGCAAACAGGAUUAGAUACCCUGGUA